AGCGGAGGGAUCAUUACCGAGUUUACAACUCCCAAACCCAAUGUGAACGUUACCAAACUGUUGCCUCGGCGGGAUCUCUGCCCCGGGUGCGUCGCAGCCCCGGACCAAGGCGCCCGCCGGAGGACCAACCAAAACUCUUUUUGUAUACCCCCUCGCGGGUUUUUUAUAAUCUGAGCCUUCUCGGCGCCUCUCGUAGGCGUUUCGAAAAUGAAUCAAAACUUUCAACAACGGAUCUCUUGGUUCUGGCAUCGAUGAAGAACGCAGCGAAAUGCGAUAAGUAAUGUGAAUUGCAGAAUUCAGUGAAUCAUCGAAUCUUUGAACGCACAUUGCGCCCGCCAGUAUUCUGGCGGGCAUGCCUGUCCGAGCGUCAUUUCAACCCUCGAACCCCUCCGGGGGGUCGGCGUUGGGGAUCGGCCCUGCCUUUGGCGGUGGCCGUCUCCGAAAUACAGUGGCGGUCUCGCCGCAGCCUCUCCUGCGCAGUAGUUUGCACACUCGCAUCGGGAGCGCGGCGCGUCCACAGCCGUUAAACACCCAACUUCUGAAAUGUUGACCUCGGAUCAGGUAGGAAUACCCGCUGAACU
rnacentral:rRNA from 1 species